CGGACGGGUGAGUAACGCGUGAGAAUUUGCCUUUAGGAGGGGGACAACAGACAGAAAUGACUGCUAAUACCCCAUAUGCUUUCGAGUAAAAUGGAUUUUUCCGCCUAAAGAGAAGCUUGCGGCUGAUUAGCUUGUUGGUAAGGUAAUGGCUUACCAAGGCGACGAUCAGUAUCUGGUUUGAGAGGAUGAUCAGACACACUGGAACUGAGACACGGUCCAGACUCCUACGGGAGGCAGCAGUGGGGAAUUUUCCGCAAUGGGCGAAAGCCUGACGGAGCAAUCUCGCGUGAGGGAUGAAUGCCUAUGGGUUGUAAACCUCUUUUUUCAGGGAGGAAUAAGUGACGUGUACCUGAAGAAUAAGCAUCGGCUAACUCCGUGCCAGCAGCCGCGGUAAGACGGAGGAUGCAAGUGUUAUCCGGAAUCACUGGGCGUAAAGCGUCUGUAGGUGGUCCAAUAAGUCAACUGUUAAAUCUUGAGGCUCAACCUCAAAAUCGCAGUCGAAACUAUUAGACUAGAGUAUAGUAGGGGUAAAGGGAAUUUCCAGUGGAGCGGUGAAAUGCGUAGAGAUUGGAAAGAACACCGAUGGCGAAGGCACUUUACUGGGCUAUUACUAACACUCAGAGACGAAAGCUAGGGUAGCAAAUGGGAUUAGAUACCCCAGUAGUC
rnacentral:rRNA from 1 species